AACGAACGCUGGCGGCGUGCUUAACACAUGCAAGUCGAACGCGAAAGUUUUCUUCGGAAGACGAGUAGAGUGGCGCACGGGUGAGUAACGCGUAAGUAAUCUGCCCUGGUAUCUGGGAUAACCCACCGAAAGGUGUGCUAAUACCGGAUACGCUGAGCAACCAGGAAAGGUGGCCUCUUCAUGAAAGCUACUGUACCAGGAGGAGCUUGCGUACCAUUAGCUAGUUGGUAGGGUAAUCGGCCUACCAAGGCAACGAUGGUUAGCGGGUCUGAGAGGAUGAUCCGCCACACUGGAACUGAAACACGGACCAGACUCCUACGGGAGGCAGCAGUGAGGAAUAUUGCGCAAUGGGGGAAACCCUGACGCAGCGACGCCGCGUGGAUGAUGAAGGCC
rnacentral:rRNA from 1 species